rnacentral:rRNA from 1 species
GAACUUAGCAGAGAUGCUUUGGUGCCUUCGGGAACUCUGAGACAGGUGCUGCAUGGCUGUCGUCAGCUCGUGUUGUGAAAUGUUGGGUUAAGUCCCGCAACGAGCGCAACCCUUAUCCUUUGUUGCCAGCGGUCCGGCCGGGAACUCAAAGGAGACUGCCAGUGAUAAACUGGAGGAAGGUGGGGAUGACGUCAAGUCAUCAUGGCCCUUACGAGUAGGGCUACACACGUGCUACAAUGGCGCAUACAAAGAGAAGCGACCUCGCGAGAGCAAGCGGACCUCAUAAAGUGCGUCGUAGUCCGGAUUGGAGUCUGCAACUCGACUCCAUGAAGUCGGAAUCGCUAGUAAUCGUAGAUCAGAAUGCUACGGUGAAUACGUUCCCGGGCCUUGUACACACCGCCCGUCACACCAUGGGAGUGGGUUGCAAAAGAAGUAGGUAGCUUAACCUUCGGGAGGGCGCUUACCACUUUGUGAUUCAUGACUGGGGUGAAGUCGUAACAAGGUAGGCGUACGUGU